rnacentral:rRNA from 1 species
CAGUAGCCACGGUAAUACAGAGGGUGCAAGCGUUAAUCGGAAUUACUGGGCGUAAAGCGCGCGUAGGUGGUUCGCCAAGUUGGAUGUGAAAUCCCCGGGCUCAACCUGGGAACUGCAUCCAAAACUGGCAAGCUAGAGUAUGGUAGAGGGUGGUGGAAUUUCCUGUGUAGCGGUGAAAUGCGUAGAUAUAGGAAGGAACAUCAGUGGCGAAGGCGACCACCUGGACUGAUACUGACACUGAGGUGCGAAAGCGUGGGAGCAAACAGGAUUAGAUACCCCAGUAGUCCCUGUCUCUUAUACA